UGCUCACUGAAACCUUGAACUCCUGGGCUCACGGGAUCCUCCUGCCUCAGCCUCCUGAGUAGCAAGAACUACAGAGCCUCUUUAAAUUCAUAUUGGAUGCAGGUCUUCAUCAAGGAGAAAGUGGAAAGACACCAACUUGCCGUGAAGCAUACAGCAAGUUUAGAUGUAAAUGCAUCUAUAUCGAAUGGGGCAAAGCAGGAAAAGAGGACUCUGUGGGAGUGCAUUGGAAUUGGAGGUAUCAGUAUGAAUUCAUGAUUUCUAAUACAAUAGGAAUCCUUUUGCCAUGAAAGACAAAGACAGGCUGAAGAGCUAUACUAUAUUUAAGGAGACUAAAGUAGCAUGAAGACUAAAUGCAAUAUGUGAUCUUGAAGUGGAUCUGUACUGAAGAAAAGAUAUGCUACAAAUGACAUUACUGGGUAAUUUGACAAAUCUGGAAUACAGAUGAUACGUCAAAGUACUGCAUCAUUGUUAAAUCUCCUGAAGUUGCUAACCCUACUGUGAUUAUUUAGUGGAAUCUUUUUUUUAGGAAAUACACUUUCAAUUAUUUAGAGAUAAUGGGGCAUGACAUGCUACUUACUUUCAAGGGGUUCAGAAAAAUAAUUUGUAUAUAUUACACAUGCAUGUGCAUGUGUGUUUAUGCACACACUACUCACUGUAAAUGCACAUGAUAAAGUAAAUAGGGCAAAAGGUUAACAAUUGUGAAUCUGCAUAAAGGGUGUACAGAGUUUCUUUAUGGUCUUCUUGCAACUCUUCCUUAAGCAUGAAAUCCUUCCAAAUAAAAGACUUCUAAAAGGUUGGUGUUAGGCAUGCACAAAAAAAUUAAGGGUAAUAGAGUAGACUUUUGAAAGCAGGGGGUAAUGAUAACAUCAAAUAUUUUGAAGGACUGUCAUGUGGAAGGAGGAUUAAGACUUAUAAUUUGGCUAAUCUUAUUUGGUGUCAUUCUGCUUUGUGUAAUAUCAUCACAGCAUAUCCAAGUGCUCAUGGCUGAAAUGAGAUACAGGCGUUUUUAAGUUUUAUGGAGUCUUCAGUAUAAUUCAGUACAGAGAGGUGCAAAAUCAUGUGAUUCUGAGGGUUCAUUGGGUAGCAUACACGAAUGAAGGGGACUGGGUGCAGAAAAUGGAAAAUAGUGGGAACUUGAGAGCAAUGUCUUUUCCAAGGCUUUCAAAUGCAACUAAAGACAAACCCAAAAUACUGUGCAGUAAUCCCGGGCUGUGUCCAGCCUGUGAGUGGCCAGCUGGGACCCACAAUCUUAUCUAAUCCUUUCUGUCAGGUGAGGAAACAGGUACCAAACAUCAUAAAACAAUGUCAGUGAAUGAAAGGUGUAAAUGGGUGCAAAUGUAUUUUUAA